UCUAGACCAUAGUAUUCUCUCUCCAGUCAGACAGUCAGGUACCUCUAGACCAUAGUAUUCUCUCUCCAGUCAGACAGUCAGGUACCUCUAGACCAUAGUAUUCUCUCUCCAGUCAGACAGUCAGGUACCUCUAGACCAUAGUAUUCUCUCUCCAGUCAGACAGUCAGGUACCUCUAGACCAUAGUAUUCUCUCUCCAGUCAGACAGUCAGGUACCUCUAGACCAUAGUAUUCUCUCUCCAGUCAGACAGACAGGUACCUCUAGACCAUAGUAUUCUCUCUCCAGACAGACAGUCAGGUACCUCUAGACCAUAGUAUUCUCUCUCCAGUCAGACAGUCAGGUACCUCUAGACCAUAGUAUUCUCUCUCCAGUCAGACAGUCAGGUACCUCUAGACCAUAGUAUUCUCUCUCCAGACAGACAGUCAGGUACCUCUAGACCAUAGUAUUCUCUCU